AUGGGGGCGCAGCUCCGCCUCCUGGCCCCACCCCCACCCUGCUGGCCUCGCCAUGGGAAGGGACGGCAGGGGGCACCUGCUGUGCGCCGGGCUCUGCUUUGGGCGCCAAGAGCCCUCACUCCGACAGCCUGUCCGUCCGCCUGUCUACCUGUCUACCUGUCUGUCCGCCUGUCCAUCCGCCUGUCUGUCUGCCUGUCUGUCCAUCCGUCCACCCCUGUGGGACGCAGCGACGCCUGCAAGGGCGGGCUUAACUGCCCGGAAACGGAAGUCCGGCUCCUUUCCGCCUCUCUCCCUUCUCGCUGCUGCCGUGCUGGUCCGCGGCCUGGUCGCCAUGCCCCGGAAAAUCGAGGAGAUCAAGGACUUCCUGCUCACGGCCCGGCGGAAGGAUGCCAAGUGUGGGUGGCCGCGCGGGCGCGUCGCGGGCGGGAGAGGGGCGCGGGCGGCGCGGGCUCGGGGGCCGUGGAAUCACGUGUCUGAAAGAACAGCAGCGAGGAGGAGAGGGAGAGGUCUCCCAUCCGCUGUCCACUCCCCCGAGGGCCGCCGUGGCCAGGGCUCCCACGCGGGUGCAGGGCCCAAGCACUGGGGCCAGCCUCCACUGCCCUCCCGGGCCCAGCAGGGAGCGGGAUGGGAAGUGGAGCAGCCGGGACUCGAACCGGCGCCCACGCGGCUGCAGGCCCCCAGGUGUCCUCUCAGCCCGCCGGCGUCGAGGGCGCUGAGCUGCUGUCCGCGGACUGACCGUCCGACCGAGGCUCUGAGCCCCGGCCCCUGCGCCCGCGAGGUGGGCGUUGGGGGGUCGGCGCUGGCGCCAGGGACCGAGCAGAGCCACGGAGCCGCGAUCAGCCCUCGGCCGCCUGCUGCUGCGUGACCCUGGCCGGGCGGGGCAGGUUCCUCCCGCAGACCCAGGUGGCCGCGGCCGGCCGCGCGCUCGGUGUCCGGCUGUCGGCUCGGUGUCCACGCUGCGCUGCUGGGCGUGAGCUCCGCUGAGCCGAGGUCCUGGACGCGGCAGCCGUGGCGCUGGGGGAGGGGGCGCACUGGGGACCCUGCCCCGUGGGGAGCCUGGGGGGAGCCCCGCCUCUGGGGCCCCGCGCCCACACGGGCUCCUGGCUGGCCCCGCAAGCUGGGGGCGUGGAGGAGCGGGCCCGCAGGGAGACCUCAUAACCGGGC
rnacentral:lncRNA from 1 species